GACGAACCGAGCGAACGUUGUUCGGAAUCACUGGGCUUAAAGGGCGCGUAGGCGGGUUCGCAAGUCUGUGGUGAAAGCCUCCAGCUUAACUGGAGAAGUGCCAUGGAUACUGCGCAUCUUGAGGAGGGUAGGGGCGUCUGGAACGGUCGGUGGAGCGGUGAAAUGCGUUGAUAUCGACCGGAACUCCGGUGGCGAAGGCGAGGCGCUGGACCCUUUCUGACGCUGAGGCGCGAAAGCCAGGGGAGCAAACGGG
rnacentral:rRNA from 1 species